UACGAAGGGGGCUAGCGUUGCUCGGAAUUACUGGGCGUAAAGGGCGCGUAGGCGGCCCUUCUUGUCGCGUGUGAAAGCCCCGGGCUCAACCUGGGAAUGGCGCGCGAGACGGGGGGGCUGGAGUUCGGGAGAGGAGCGUGGAAUUCCCAGUGUAGAGGUGAAAUUCGUAGAUAUUGGGAAGAACACCGGUGGCGAAGGCGGCGCUCUGGACCGAGACUGACGCUGAGGCGCGAAAGCGUGGGGAGCAAACAGG
rnacentral:rRNA from 1 species